rnacentral:tRNA from 1 species
UCCUCGAUAGCUCAACGGUAGAGCACUCGGCUGUUAACCGAGGGGUUGUUGGUUCGAAUCCAACUCGGGGAGCCA